AGCAGCCGCGGUAAUUCCAGCUCCAAUAGCGUAUAUUAAAGUUGUUGCAGUUAAAAAGCUCGUAGUUGAACUUCGGGGUUUACCCAUUGGUCAGGCUUAAUUGUCUGUACUGGUGAGAUAAAUCUCUACCUUCUGAGGAACUUUCAUGCCAUUUAUUUGGUGUGAUGGGAAAUCAGGACUGUUACUUUGAAAAAUUAGAGUGUUUAAAGCAGGCUAACGUCUGAAUACAUUAGCAUGGAAUAAUGAAAUAGGACGGACUGAUUCUAUUUCGUUGGUUUCUAGGAUCACCGUAAUGAUUAAUAGGGAUAGUUGGGGGCAUUAGUAUUCAAUUGUCAGAGGUGAAAUUCUUGGAUUUAUUGAAGACUAACUACUGCGAAAGCAUUUGCCAAGGAUGUUUUCAUUAAUCAAGAACGAAAGUUAGGGGAUCGAAGACGAUCAGAUACCAUCGUAGUCUUAACCAUAAACUAUGCCGACUAGGGAUCGGACGAAGUUAAUUUUAUAAUGACGCGUUCGGCACCUU
rnacentral:rRNA from 1 species